UUCGGAGCUCAACAGUCUUUUAGAAACAUGUUAGCAGAAUUGGAGUCGGGUAGAAAAAAUACAACCAUCCCCUCUCUCUGCUGAGUCACUGUCAGAAUAGACCUUCUUGGGUUUGAAGGUGAGAGCUGAUGGGUGGGUUGGGUAAAAAGGACUUACUGGGGAUGAAAUGGAGUGUUAUGACCAUCAACCAUACUGCAUCCUCUUUGUCGACUAACAGGGUUGAGGAUAAUGAGUAAUCUGGACGGAGCAGCUUUCUUCCAAGGACCUCAGAACUCUCUGCAGAUGUGCUUCUCUCUGCAAAAUGGCUCUCACUCCAUUUCUGUGAGAACUCUUCCCGCAAACUGGGUCCCUAAGAGGAUUAGUGAAGGGGAUACCAAUUUAUUUAUACUCACCUCAGCAUGGUAGCAGCCAAACACUGUAAGUUGCUGGAUUAUUAAAUGG
rnacentral:lncRNA from 1 species